GUGAGCUUGGUGCAGUGGUAAAACCUCUUGUUUACACACAAAAGAUCCUAGGUUCGAUACCUGUUUAUUACA
rnacentral:tRNA from 1 species